GAUGAAGAACGCAGCGAAAUGCGAUACGUAAUGUGAAUUGCAGAAUUCAGUGAAUCAUCGAGUCUUUGAACGCACAUUGCGCCCCCUGGUAUUCCGGGGGGCAUGCCUGUCCGAGCGUCAUUGCUGCCCUCAAGCACGGCUUGUGUGUUGGGCCUCCGUCCUCCUCCCGGGGGACGGGCCCGAAAGGCAGCGGCGGCACCGCGUCCGGUCCUCGAGCGUAUGGGGCUUCGUCACCCGCUCUUGUAGGCCCGGCCGGCGCUUGCCGACACAUUAAUCUUUUUUCCAGGUUGACCUCGGAUCAGGUAGGGAUACCCGCUGAACUUAAGCAUAUCAAUAAGCGGAGGA
rnacentral:misc_RNA from 1 species